rnacentral:rRNA from 1 species
CGCGUAGGCGGCCAUUCAAGUCAGGCGUGAAAGCCCCGGGCUCAACCUGGGAACGGCGCUUGGGACUGGAUGGCUGGAGUUCGGGAGAGGAGAGUGGAAUUCCCAGUGUAGAGGUGAAAUUCGUAGAUAUUGGGAAGAACACCGGUGGCGAAGGCGGCUCUCUGGACCGAGACUGACGCUGAGGCGCGAAAGCGUGGGAGCAAACA